CUCACCGUGCCAGAGACCCAUCAGCAUUCAAAGCGGGCAGCUGGGUUAAAAAUGUUGAUUAUUACCGCUUCGAUGGUUCCACCAGUGCCACACUGAGGAAGAAGUGGGCAGAUGAGUUUAACAAUCCUGUAAAUGUCCGCGGCCGAUUGUUCCUCAUCUCAAC